rnacentral:lncRNA from 1 species
AGUUCAGUGCCAGAUACCUCUGAACCAACUAACAAUGGAUAAGUUUUUCUUUUUCUUUUUCUUUUUGUAGCAAUUUUUUACAAUUCUUUGGUUUAAAUGACUUUGUGAUGGUCACCUAUACCGGAGUUGCCUUUUUUCUUUUAUUUAUUUAUUUAUUUAUUUUUGUUUUUCUGGAUCAUUCACUUAUUUGCAUCGGUCCCCUACGUCGAGGAUGCGUAGGCCGGAGUUGACUGCUGAGAUAAACUACUGAGGACUUAUACGGAAAUGAUGAUUAAGGCCAUGGUAUAUGGGGUUUUGGGAGUGGUUCCUAUAUUUACGAAGUCUAUGGCGCUAAAAUAAUACUGAUGUUUCG